UAGAUUUUAAAUCCCCUAGAAACCUAUAUAAGACCUUUGUAAUAUUCUGUAAUCAGGCAUUUGUGACCAGUCUCUCUUCGGAAAAUAAAAUGCUUUCGGAACGACUGUGAGCAGUGUCCCAAGCCUUCUCUCCGCUAGCGUGCAGCUGAAGCCCUGCUACAGGAGUUCCCAGACCUAUUGGAACUCUUGCAGCAGACUGGGAUGGAAGAAUUCCCCCUCGAAACAGCUACAAUUGGCACCCGAACGGAUCCUCUGACCCCCCCCUCAGAAGACAGUGAGUGGCCUCUUUCUGCCGCCUUCGUAGGUGCCAAGAAACCUCAGUAAAAUCGUCUUUGUUCUAUAAAGUCUUGCUUUACCCAAGGCAGUCCGGCAAACUCAGGAUCCGGACCUGGGGAACUACGACAACGCUAGCAGCAGCUGGCAGCUGGUUGACCCUUUUGCUGAGUUUUGCACGGACUCUCCGUCGUCCAGCCCGCACACAGACCAACCCGCGCCUGCCGCGACCCCACAGCUGCCCGGGAACCCCUUGCAGCCCGCCGCUGCUCCCGGUGCCGUCCCACUCGCUCCGGUGCUCGGCUCCGCGCUGAUCUCGCUCCCUCCCGAAACCGCCGCUGCUCCCAACAGAAUUCGACCCGCUCUGGCACCCGGCCCUGCACCGAUCUCGCUCCCUCCCAAGCCACAGCCGCCGCUUCCGCCGGACCCGCAAUUGCCGGUUUCCACCGACGUGGUGCGGUUCCCCCCCUGUCCCGCCAUCACCACUUUUUCCCUCGGUGCCCGGCGCGCUGCUUCCGCCACUGAUUGCCACCACCCCGUCCGUGGCUGGCCACCACCCCGUCCGUGGCUGCCGGCCCCACGCCUCCCCUCCUCACGGCCCCUGCUCACACGGCUUCCCC
rnacentral:lncRNA from 12 species